rnacentral:lncRNA from 1 species
CAUUUUAUCCUUCCCCCUUCUUUCUACUCCAUUGAGAAACAAUACUGAGCACCCACUCUUCAAAUUCGAUAGAGCACAAAAGCAGACACUGCCCUUGCCCUCGGGAGGCUUGCCCUGUUAUGGGUGACCUGUGUUCACAAAGUAAUCCCAGAACUGAACAAAACCGCUGUCACUGCAAUAGGCAAUGUGUUGCAGAGGGCUCCAGGCUGGUGGGAGCCUGCAGAGGGAGAAUUUGACUUUAUGAGCGAGCUUCAGAACUUUUCUGGGAAGAUCAAGGUUGAGAUUCAGCCUGGAGGACCAAUAGCUAACAAGAUAAGAAGGCAGGCGGCAGGACCCUGG